GUGCUUGCUUUGGCAGCACAUAUACUAAAAUUGGAAUGAUAUAGUGAAGAUUAGCAUGGACCCUGCUCAAGGAUGACAUGCAAAUUCGUGAAGCAUUCCAUAUUUUU
rnacentral:snRNA from 1 species